CGAACGCUGGCGGCAGGCCUAACACAUGCAAGUCGAACGAACUCUUCGGAGUUAGUGGCGGACGGGUGAGUAACACGUGGGAACGUGCCUUUAGGUUCGGAAUAACUCAGGGAAACUUGUGCUAAUACCGAAUGUGCCCUUCGGGGGAAAGAUUUAUCGCCUUUAGAGCGGCCCGCGUCUGAUUAGCUAGUUGGUGAGGUAAAGGCUCACCAAGGCGACGAUCAGUAGCUGGUCUGAGAGGAUGAUCAGCCACAUUGGGACUGAGACACGGCCCAAACUCCUACGGGAGGCAGCAGUGGGGAAUCUUGCGCAAUGGGCGAAAGCCUGACGCAGCCAUGCCGCGUGAAUGAUGAAGGUCUUAGGAUUGUAAAAUUCUUUCACCGGGGACGAUGAUGACGGUACCCGGAGAAGAAGCCCCGGCUAACUUCGUG
rnacentral:rRNA from 1 species